rnacentral:rRNA from 1 species
UUAAGCGACUAAGCGUACACGGUGGAUGCCCUGGCAGUCAGAGGCGAUGAAGGACGUGCUAAUCUGCGAUAAGCGUCGGUGAGGUGAUAUGAACCGUUAUAACCGGCGAUUUCCGAAUGGGGAAACCCAGUGUGUUUCGACACACUAUCAUUAACUGAAUCCAUAGGUUAAUGAGGCGAACCGGGGGAACUGAAACAUCUAAGUACCCCGAGGAAAAGAAAUCAACCGAGAUUCCCCCAGUAGCGGCGAGCGAACGGGGAGGAGCCCAGAGCCUGAAUCAGUGUGUGUGUUAGUGGAAGCGUCUGGAAAGGCGCGCGAUACAGGGUGACAGCCCCGUACACAAAAAUGCACAUAUUGUGAGCUCGAUGAGUAGGGCGGGACACGUGGUAUCCUGUCUGAAUAUGGGGGGACCAUCCUCCAAGGCUAAAUACUCCUGACUGACCGAUAGUGAACCAGUACCGUGAGGGAAAGGCGAAAAGAACCCCGGCGAGGGGAGUGAAAAAGAACCUGAAACCGUGUACGUACAAGCAGUGGGAGCCUCUUUAUGGGGUGACUGCGUACCUUUUGUAUAAUGGGUCAGCGACUUAUAUUCUGUAGCAAGGUUAACCGAAUAGGGGAGCCGAAGGGAAACCGAGUCUUAACUGGGCGUUAAGUUGCAGGGUAUAGACCCGAAACCCGGUGAUCUAGCCAUGGGCAGGUUGAAGGUUGGGUAACACUAACUGGAGGACCGAACCGACUAAUGUUGAAAAAUUAGCGGAUGACUUGUGGCUGGGGGUGAAAGGCCAAUCAAACCGGGAGAUAGCUGGUUCUCCCCGAAAGCUAUUUAGGUAGCGCCUCGUGAAUUCAUCUCCGGGGGUAGAGCACUGUUUCGGCAAGGGGGUCAUCCCGACUUACCAACCCGAUGCAAACUGCGAAUACCGGAGAAUGUUAUCACGGGAGACACACGGCGGGUGCUAACGUCCGUCGUGAAGAGGGAAACAACCCAGACCGCCAGCUAAGGUCCCAAAGUCAUGGUUAAGUGGGAAACGAUGUGGGAAGGCCCAGACAGCCAGGAUGUUGGCUUAGAAGCAGCCAUCAUUUAAAGAAAGCGUAAUAGCUCACUGGUCGAGUCGGCCUGCGCGGAAGAUGUAACGGGGCUAAACCAUGCACCGAAGCUGCGGCAGCGACACUAUGUGUUGUUGGGUAGGGGAGCGUUCUGUAAGCCUGUGAAGGUGGCCUGUGAGGGUUGCUGGAGGUAUCAGAAGUGCGAAUGCUGACAUAAGUAACGAUAAAGCGGGUGAAAAGCCCGCUCGCCGGAAGACCAAGGGUUCCUGUCCAACGUUAAUCGGGGCAGGGUGAGUCGACCCCUAAGGCGAGGCCGAAAGGCGUAGUCGAUGGGAAACAGGUUAAUAUUCCUGUACUUGGUGUUACUGCGAAGGGGGGACGGAGAAGGCUAUGUUGGCCGGGCGACGGUUGUCCCGGUUUAAGCGUGUAGGCUGGUUUUCCAGGCAAAUCCGGAAAACCAAGGCUGAGGCGUGAUGACGAGGCACUACGGUGCUGAAGCGACAAAUGCCCUGCUUCCAGGAAAAGCCUCUAAGCAUCAGGUAACAUCAAAUCGUACCCCAAACCGACACAGGUGGUCAGGUAGAGAAUACCAAGGCGCUUGAGAGAACUCGGGUGAAGGAACUAGGCAAAAUGGUGCCGUAACUUCGGGAGAAGGCACGCUGAUAUGUAGGUGAAGCGACUUGCUCGUGGAGCUGAAAUCAGUCGAAGAUACCAGCUGGCUGCAACUGUUUAUUAAAAACACAGCACUGUGCAAACACGAAAGUGGACGUAUACGGUGUGACGCCUGCCCGGUGCCGGAAGGUUAAUUGAUGGGGUUAGCGGUAACGCGAAGCUCUUGAUCGAAGCCCCGGUAAACGGCGGCCGUAACUAUAACGGUCCUAAGGUAGCGAAAUUCCUUGUCGGGUAAGUUCCGACCUGCACGAAUGG